GAAUGAACGCUAGCGGGCNGGCNNNNCNCNNNCAAGNNNNGCGGUAGAGUUCNUUCGGGGACUUANGAGCGGCGUACGGGUGCGGAACACGUGUGCAACCUGCCUUUAUCAGGGGGAUAGCCUUUNGAAAGGAAGAUUAAUACCCCAUAAUAUAAUUGAUGGCAUCAUUGAUUAUUGAAAACUCCGGUGGAUAAAGAUGGNNNCGCGCAAGAUUAGAUAGUUGGUGAGGUAACGGCUCACCAAGUCGAUGAUCUUUAGGGGGCCUGAGAGGGUGAUCCCCCACACUGGUACUGAGACACGGACCAGACUCCUACGGGAGGCAGCAGUGAGGAAUAUUGGACAAUGGGUUAGCGCCUGAUCCAGCCAUCCCGCGUGAAGGACGACGGCCCUAUGGGUUGUAAACUUCUUUUGUACAGGGAUAAACCUUUCCACGUGUGGAAAGCUGAAGGUACUGUACGAAUAAGCACCGGCUAACUCCGUGCCAGCAGCCGCGGUAAUACGGAGGGUGCAAGCGUUAUCCGGAUUUAUUGGGUUUUAAAGNUCCGUAGGCGGAUCUGUAAGUCAGUGGUGAAAUCUCACAGCUUAACUGUGAAACUGCCAUUGAUACUGCAGGUCUUGAGUAAGGUAGAAGUGGCUGGAAUAAGUAGUGUAGCGGUGAAAUGCAUAGAUAUUACUUAGAACACCAAUUGCGAAGGCAGGUCAC
rnacentral:rRNA from 1 species